rnacentral:rRNA from 1 species
UACGAAGGGGGCUAGGGUUGCUCGGAAUUACUGGGCGUAAAGCGCACGUAGGCGGAUUGUUAAGUCGGGGGUGAAAUCCUGGAGCUCAACUCCAGAACUGCCUUCGAUACUGGCGAUCUCGAGUUCGGGAGAGGUGAGUGGAACUGCGAGUGUAGAGGUGAAAUUCGUAGAUAUUCGCAAGAACACCAGUGGCGAAGGCGGCUCACUGGCCCGAUACUGACUCUGAGUUGCGAAAGCGUGUUGAGCAAACAGG